GAUAAACUGUCUCCUGCUCAGUGGUCAGCUCUGGGUUUCAUCUUAGUGUCAUCAGGAAAAGAUCUGGAUGUGUUUGACCUGAAGAAAUACUCUGCUUCAGAGGAGGCUCUUCUGAGGCUGCUGCCAGUGGUUAAAGCCUCCAACAAAGCUCUACUGAGUGGCUGUAACCUCUCAGAGAGAAGCUGUGAAGCUCUGUCCUCAGUUCUCAGCUCCCAGUCCUCCAGUCUCAGAGAACUGGACCUGAGUAACAACAACCUGCAGGAAUCAGGAGCGAAGCUUCUCUCUGCUGGACUGAAGAGACCAAACUGCAACCUGGAGACUCUCAGACUGAGUGGCUGUAAUCUCUCAGAGAGAAGCUGUGAAGCUCUGUCCUCAGUUCUCAGCUCCCAGUCCUCCAGUCUCAGAGAACUGGACCUGAGUAACAACAACCUGC